AAAUGUACUAACUUAAUUAAUGAAUUAGAAUACUAUCAAUUGAUAAGAACGUCUUCACAUAUAACGCUAUCGUGAAUGAUUUGAUAACAACUUGUUAAUAUGCAUAAUAAUAUGCACCGGCGCCAUAUGUUUCGAUUGCACUGACACCUAACUUACUGCGUGAAACUUCUAGACGCACAUAAUUUUUAACAUGAUUCGAUGGUUUUCUGAGCACUCGUUAGGAAAAAUAUUUUUUUGGAUCAACCUUGAUAUACGUCACAGCAUUCAAAUCUAUUUUCCGAAGUAAGUUAGAUUAUGUUACCACAAAAGAACAUAAUUUCAUUUUAUUGUUUGGAAUAUUAUUGUUGGAUUUUCUUAGAAGAAACUCUUAUUAAAGAUGAGAAAAUCAUACACGUUAACCGUCCUCGAUGCAGAAGUGCUCGCGAUAUACUGACUAAAUUUCUCGAAAGAUAGAUGUCUGAAUCGAAAACAACCUCCUCCCUCGCUAAAUAAACGACGGCGUCGGCGUCAUGAUGCGUCGAAAUGCUAAGGAUGUUGUAUAUUAAAACAUGCAUUUAUAUGCACGAAUG
rnacentral:lncRNA from 1 species